CUUGCAGAUCACCAUCAAAGACAAUAUCCCUUUAAGCAAUCAGGAAAGGAGCCUAGUACCUGGAAGAGAUGCAGGAAGCCAGAGAGCAAGAAGAGGGCAGUUGCUGCUUUUUCAAAGAGAGAGAGAGAGACCACGCCCCAAUGGACUGGUAUCUCAGUGCCUAUUGGCUGAAGGAGUGGAAGGGGCUCCAUCUACACCUCCCCCUUUUAUAAGACAUUUGCUGGAUGUGGGCCACUCCAUUCACUAAACUGUUAAGGAAGCUCAUGAACUUAUUAUUUUGUAAAGACUUCUUCAAUUUCCCUCAUGUAUAUAAAUAAUAACUGAUUUCAUCAUCCUGUUCAACAUGAUCUCAGACAUAGGCACAGAUUAGAUCCUUCUCUGCCUUCUCCUGAGAAGCUUUUGGUGAAGACACAGACCACACACCUUCAUGAUGAGUUUAAUCAUCAUUUCACAUCUAACAUGUAUCAAUCACCCCACCUGUAUUCACCUGUCACUUCAGUGAGGUACAUAUUGUUUCUAUUGUGUAUCGAAUACAUUCAUUUACUCUUCCAUCUCUGGACAUUCCAGUAUAUGAGAUAAAGCAAGUUCCUGAAUCCUAUCCCAAGCAUUUGAAGCUGCUGUGCUACAUAGGGACAAGUUGUGUUCAUCGUAAAGAGCCUGACCCUGAGGAUCAGA